ACAUAUCAGGAGAUAAUGCAGCUCAUCACCCAGGUCAUUCGAGGGGCAGAGCGGGAACCUUCUUUCGUUGUGUGGCACAUGACUUUGCGACCAUCUUCCAACCUCAAUAGGGAACCUAUGACUGCCAGUUCGGAAAUGGAAUAAUGAUAAGCGCUGGAUCAAUUUAAUGUCCAUGCAAGAAGUCGAGGCGGCGAGUAAGAAGGAAUUGAUUAAACCAGUGUGGCUCAUGUUGCAAUAUAAACGUAUGGCAUGAAUGUUCGCAAGGUGCACGUUAGAGGAAUUUUUGUUUUAUUUUAUUACUGAAGUUUUCUUGCAUCUAUUAUGAAUGAUCAUUUUUGUCAAAAUUCUACUAUAAACAGUGAUACUUGUA